AUCCUCCCUUCACGCUGAGAGCUCCAGGAGACAGAAACUGAGUGAAGGGAGGAAAAAUCCUCUCCUGUCUCCUCGUCCUCUUUCCUUCUUUGUCUUCUUCUUUUUCUUUCUCUUCUUCCCCUCUGAGGUUUUCCAGAGUCGGAUGAGAGAUGGGAUGUGGGAACUCCUCCCCGGCACCGACCACCGGCAGCAGCAACAACAACGGCAGCAGCGUCAGCAGUGGAGGUCGAGCUGAGACUCCGACCAAAGUAUCAAAUGACUUGCCUGAAGAUGAAAAACGAAAAAACUAUGGAGGUGUGUAUGUGGGUUUACCGACAGACAUGAGCAACAUCCCUCAAGUACAGAUCGGAGCGCUAAGAGAGGCGGAGGGAGACCUGUCGUCCCUCAGGAGACCGCUGUGGGGGAACGGAUUCUAAUGAAGAGCCAGGGUGCGACAUGCAAGUGAUGGAGGGAUGACGUCUGUCGCUGGAGAAGAAGAAGCAGAUGAAUCCCUGCAGGCGUCUUUCACACCCUCAGUCUCAUCAGGAGUCUCACAUGUGAACCAGCAGCAGUGG